GACAGAGGGUGCAACCGUUGUUCGGAAUUACUGGGCGUAAAGCGUGUGUAGGCGGUUUGCUAAGUCGGGUGUGAAAGCCCCGGGCUCAACCCGGGAAGUGCACUCGAAACUGGCAGGCUAGAGUACUGGAGAGGUUGGUGGGAUUCUCGGUGUAGAGGUGAAAUUCGUAGAUAUCGAGAGGAACACCGGUGGCGAAGGCGGCCAACUGGACAGAUACUGACGCUGAGACACGAAAGCGUGGGGAGCAAACAGG
rnacentral:rRNA from 1 species